CCUACGGGUGGCAGCAGUGAGGAAUAUUGGUCAAUGGGCGCAAGCCUGAACCAGCCAAGUCGCGUGAGGGAAGACGGCCCUACGGGUUGUAAACCUCUUUUGCCGGGGAGCAAGCCUGAGCACGUGUGCCCAGGCGGAGAGUACCCGGAGAAAAAGCAUCGGCUAACUCCGUGCCAGCAGCCGCUGUAAUACGGAGGAUGCGCGCGUUAUCCGGAUUUAUUGGGGUUAAAGGGGUCGCAGGCGGGCUGUUCAGACGGCGGUAAACAUGCAGGGUUAAACCAUGUCGAGCCGGCGGUACUGGCAGGCUUGAGUGGGCGAGAAGUAUGCGGAAUGCGUGGUGUAGCGGUGAAAUGCAUAGAUAUCACGCAGAACGCCGAGUGCGAAGGCAGCAUACCGGCGCCCAACUGACGCUGAGGCACGAAAGCGUGGGGAUCGAACAGGAUUAGAUACCCGUGUAGUC
rnacentral:rRNA from 1 species